rnacentral:rRNA from 1 species
UGGGGAAUAUUGCACAAUGGGCGCAAGCCUGAUGCAGCCAUGCCGCGUGUAUGAAGAAGGCCUUCGGGUUGUAAAGUACUUUCAGCGGGGAGGAAGGGAGUAAAGUUAAUACCUUUGCUCAUUGACGUUACCCGCAGAAGAAGCACCGGCUAACUCCGUGCCAGCAGCCGCGGUAAUACGGAGGGUGCAAGCGUUAAUCGGAAUUACUGGGCGUAAAGCGCACGCAGGCGGUUUGUUAAGUCAGAUGUGAAAUCCUCGGGCUCAACCUGGGAACUGCAUCUGAUACUGGCAAGCUUGAGUCUCGUAGAGGGGGGUAGAAUUCCAGGUGUAGCGGUGAAAUGCGUAGAGAUCUGGAGGAAUACCGGUGGCGAAGGCGGCCCCCUGGACGAAGACUGACGCUCAGGUGCGAACGCGUGGGGAGCAAACAGG